UACGAAGGGUGCAAGCGUUAAUCGGAAUUACUGGGCGUAAAGCGUGCGUAGGUGGUUUCCUAAGUCCGUUGUGAAAGCCCUGGGCUCAACCUGGGAACGGCAGUGGAUACUGGGAAGCUGGAGUGCGGUAGAGGAUGGCGGAAUUCCCGGUGUAGCGGUGAAAUGCGUAGAGAUCGGGAGGAACAUCAGUGGCGAAGGCGGCCAUCGGGACCAGCACUGACUUUGAGGCACGAAAGCGUGGGGAGCAAACAGG
rnacentral:rRNA from 1 species